AGCGGGAUAGUGUAGUGGUUAGCACAAUAGUCUCAUGAACUGUUAGGUGUGGUUCAAAUCCUCAUCCCGCUA